rnacentral:tRNA from 1 species
GGGGCUGUAGCUCAGUGGCAGAGCGCUUGCCUUGCACACAAGAAGCACUGGGUUCAAUCCUCAACACCACA